rnacentral:rRNA from 1 species
UGGGGAAUAUUGGGGCAAAUGGGGGGAAACCCUGACCCGGCAACGCCGCGUGAGGGAAGAAGGUCUUCGGAUUGUAAACCUCUUUUACCAGGGAAGAAGAAAGUGACGGUACCUGGAGAAAAAGCCACGGCUAACUACGUGCCAGCAGCCGCGGUAAUACGUAGGUGGCAAGCGUUGUCCGGAUUUACUGGGUGUAAAGGGCGUGUAGGCGGGAAGACAGGUCAGAUGUGAAAUGUCGGGGCUCAACCCCGGAACUGCAUUUGAAACCGUUGAUCUUGAGUAUCGGAGAGGCAAUCGGAAUUCCUAGUGUAGCGGUGAAAUGCGUAGAUAUUAGGAGGAACACCAGUGGCGAAGGCGGAUUGCUGGACGACAACUGACGGUGAGGCGCGAAAGCGUGGGAGCAAACAGGAUUAGAUACCCUGGUAGU